rnacentral:rRNA from 1 species
GUGUACAGCCAUGCCACCCUGAACAAGCCCGAUGUCUGAUCUCAGGAGCUAAGCAGGGUCGGGCCUGGUUAGUACUUGGAUGGGAGACCUCCUAGGAAGACCAGGUACUGUAGGCA